UACGUAGGGGGCAAGCGUUGUCCGGAUUUAUUGGGCGUAAAGAGCGUGUAGGCGGCCAGACAGGUCCGUUGUGAAAACUCGAGGCUCAACCUCGAGACGCCGAUGGAAACCGUCUGGCUAGAGCCCGGAAGAGGAGAGUGGAAUUCCUGGUGUAGCGGUGAAAUGCGCAGAUAUCAGGAAGAACACCCGUGGCUAAGGCGGCUCUCUAGUACGGUACUGACGCUGAGACGCGAAAGCGUGGGGAGCGAACAGG
rnacentral:rRNA from 1 species